CCCUCGGUGUUUCUAAACACCACCCUCUCUUGAAGAAAGAUGGUAG
rfam:Emiliania huxleyi CCMP1516 EMIHTscaffold_168_Cont4710, whole genome shotgun sequence.